rnacentral:rRNA from 1 species
AGUGAACGCUGGCGGUAGGCCUAACACAUGCAAGUCGAACGGCAGCACAGUAAGAGCUUGCUCUUACGGGUGGCGAGUGGCGGACGGGUGAGGAAUACAUCGGAAUCUACUUUUUCGUGGGGGAUAACGUAGGGAAACUUACGCUAAUACCGCAUACGACCUACGGGUGAAAGCAGGGGAUCUUCGGACCUUGCGCGAUUGAAUGAGCCGAUGUCGGAUUAGCUAGUUGGCGGGGUAAAGGCCCACCAAGGCGACGAUCCGUAGCUGGUCUGAGAGGAUGAUCAGCCACACUGGAACUGAGACACGGUCCAGACUCCUACGGGAGGCAGCAGUGGGGAAUAUUGGACAAUGGGCGCAAGCCUGAUCCAGCCAUACUGCGUGGGUGAAGAAGGCCUUCGGGUUGUAAAGCCCUUUUGUUGGGAAAGAAAAGCAGCAGGUUAAUACCCCGCUGUUCUGACGGUACCCAAAGAAUAAGCACAGGCUAACUUCGUG